CACCAUCGCCACAAGUGGCAACCGCUUUUAUUUGGCCUAAAGCGUCCGUAGCCGGUUCAGUAAAUUUCCUGUGAAAUUGUUAGGCUUAACCUAACAGCAUGCAGGAAAGACUACUGUACUAGGGACCGGGAGGCGUCAGAGGUAUUCUUGAGGGAGCGGUAAAAUGCUAUAAUCUCAAGAGGACCCCCUGUGGCGAAGGCGUCUGACGAGAACGGAUCCGACGGUGAGGGACGAAAGCCAGGGGAGCGAACCGG
rnacentral:rRNA from 1 species